rfam:Clostridium nexile CAG:348 genomic scaffold, scf14
AAGAACCUGGGAUGUGCGAUACUUCCAUUAUUUUGAACCUACAGUACUUUAAACGGGAUUCUUAUAUCUCUGUAAUAUGUCAAGCCUCCGGUUUUUGCAGAGGAAGGCAGAAAAGCAGAUGCGGUUGCCCACCUAGCGUUUGCUAGGAGUCAAAAUAUGGAAAACGGCAUUUUGGGGGACUA